GUCAAGAGUGAGUGAAGAAGAGAGAAACAUUGGAACCUGGCCUCAAAGCUUGGCCGAAAUGUCAGAUAUGAACUUCCAAGGCUAAUUAAAAGAACUGAAAAGCAUUUCAUUAGUUGAAGGCGAUGGCUGGUUCCUUCUUGUCUUCCACCAACAAUCCUUCAAAGGAGUUUGAAGUUUUUCUUAGUUUCAGUGGCAAGGACACCCGCAAAAAUUUCAUGAGCCAUCUCCAUGGGGCUUUGUGUCGUGCAAAUAUUAAUACUUUUGUGGAUGACCACAUUGCCAAAGGAGAAGAAUUUUUAUCGGUUAUUUCAAAUGCCAUUAAAGCAGCAAAGAUUUCGGUCAUUAUUUUCUCAGAAAAUUAUGCGUCUUCUAGAUGGUGCCUCCAAGAACUCGAAGAAAUCAUUUUCUGCAAGGAAAAAAAGAAGCAGAUUGUUAUACCAAUUUUCUAUCACGUAGCUCCGUCAGAUGUAAGGCAUCAAUGUAAUCGUUUUGGAAACGAAUUUGCUGCUCUUCAGGAUCAUCCUAAGGUGAACUUAGAGAUGCUGCAGGAAUGGAAGACUUGUUUGAAAGAUGCAGCUAGUCUAGCUGGCUAUGAAAUAAAUAAU